rnacentral:rRNA from 1 species
GAUGAACGCUGGCGGCGUGCUUAACACAUGCAAGUCGAACGGAAAGGCCCAAGCUUGCUUGGGUACUCGAGUGGCGAACGGGUGAGUAACACGUGGGUGAUCUGCCCUGCACUUCGGGAUAAGCCUGGGAAACUGGGUCUAAUACCGGAUAGGACCACAUUUUGGAUGGUGUGGUGGAAAGUUUUUCGGUGUGGGAUGAGCUCGCGGCCUAUCAGCUUGUUGGUGGGGUAAUGGCCUACCAAGGCGUCGACGGGUAGCCGGCCUGAGAGGGUGUACGGCCACAUUGGGACUGAGAUACGGCCCAGACUCCUACGGGAGGCAGCAGUGGGGAAUAUUGCACAAUGGGCGCAAGCCUGACGCAGCGACGCCGCGUGGGGGAUGACGGCCUUCGGGUUGUAAACUCCUUUCGCUAGGGACGAAGCGCAAGUGACGGUACCUGGAGAAGAAGCACCGGCUAACUACGUG